GAUGAACGCUGGCGGCGUGCCUAAUACAUGCGAGUCGAGCGAAAGGACGAGAAGCGUGCUUCUCGAAGGAUAGCGGCGGACGGGGGGGCAACAGGGGGAUAACCGACCAAGAAGACUGGGACAACCUCGGGGAAACGGAGUUGAAACCGGAAAAUAUAUUGAACCGCAUGGAUCAAAAGCAAAAUAGGGUGGUGCUGGCUCUUAUGGAAUGAGCUGGGCUGGAGUAGCUGGUUGGUACGGGAACGGCUUAGCAAGGCGACGAGGCAUAGCCGACCUGAGAGGAUGAUCAGCCACACUGGAGCUGAGACACGCUCCAGACUCCUACGGGAGGCACCAGUAGGGCAUCUUCCGCAAUGGGCGGAAGCCUGACGGAGCCACGCCGCGUGAGUGAUGAGGGUCUUCGGAUCGUGAACCUCUGUUAUUAGGGAAGAACAUAUGUGUAAGUAACUGUGCACAUCUUGACGGUACCUAAUCAGAAAGCCACGGCUAACUACGUG
rnacentral:rRNA from 1 species